rnacentral:rRNA from 1 species
AGUGAACGCUGGCGGUAGGCCUAACACAUGCAAGUCGAACGGCAGCACAGUAAGAGCUUGCUCUUACGGGUGGCGAGUGGCAGACGGGUGAGGAAUACAUCGGAAUCUACUUUUUCGUGGGGGAUAACGUAGGGAAACUUACGCUAAUACCGCAUACGACCUACGGGUGAAAGCAGGGGAUCUUCGGACCUUGCGCGAUUGAAUGAGCCGAUGUCGGAUUAGCUAGUUGGCGGGGUAAAGGCCCACCAAGGCGACGAUCCGUAGCUGGUCUGAGAGGAUGAUCAGCCACACUGGAACUGAGACACGGUCCAGACUCCUACGGGAGGCAGCAGUGGGGAAUAUUGGACAAUGGGCGCAAGCCUGAUCCAGCCAUACCGCGUGGGUGAAGAAGGCCUUCGGGUUGUAAAGCCCUUUUGUUGGGAAGGAAAAGCAGCAGGUUAAUACCCCGCUGUUCUGACGGUACCCAAAGAAUAAGCACCGGCUAACUUCGUG